rnacentral:rRNA from 1 species
UGUAACUGGAUAACCGUAGGGUGUUAUCGGUACCCGUGGGGUUUGUUCAUGGCUGGCGGCGAGUGGCGCACGGGUGAGUAAUGCAUCGGAACGUGCCCAGUAGCGGGGGAUAACUACGCGAAAGCGUAGCUAAUACCGCAUACGCCCUACGGGGGAAAGGGGGGGAUCGCAAGACCUCUCACUAUUGGAGCGGCCGAUGUCGGAUUAGCUAGUUGGUGGGGUAAAGGCCUACCAAGGCGACGAUCCGUAGCUGGUUUGAGAGGACGACCAGCCACACUGGGACUGAGACACGGCCCAGACUCCUACGGGAGGCAGCAGUGGGGAAUUUUGGACAAUGGGGGCAACCCUGAUCCAGCCAUGCCGCGUGUGCGAAGAAGGCCUUCGGGUUGUAAAGCACUUUUGGCAGGAAAGAAACGGCGCCGGCUAAUAUCUGGCGUAACUGACGGUACCUGCAGAAUAAGCACCGGCUAACUACGUGCCAGCAGCCGCGGUAAUACGUAGGGUGCAAGCGUUAAUCGGAAUUACUGGGCGUAAAGCGUGCGCAGGCGGUUCGGAAAGAAAGAUGUGAAAUCCCAGGGCUCAACCUUGGAACUGCAUUUUUAACUCCCGAACUAGAGUGUGUCAGAGGGGGGUGGAAUUCCACGUGUAGCAGUGAAAUGCGUAGAUAUGUGGAGGAACACCGAUGGCGAAGGCAGCCCCCUGGGA